rnacentral:rRNA from 1 species
ACUCAAAUGAAUUGACGGGGGCCCGCACAAGCAGUGGAUUAUGUGGUUUAAUUCGAAGCAACGCGAAGAACCUUACCGGGUCUUGACAUCCCGCGCAUAGCAUGGAAACAUGUGAAGCCCUUCGGGGCGCGGAGACAGGUGGUGCAUGGUUGUCGUCAGCUCGUGUCGUGAGAUGUUGGGUUAAGUCCCGCAACGAGCGCAACCCUUACUAUUAGUUGCUACGCAAGAGCACUCUAAUGGGACUGCCGUUGACAAAACGGAGGAAGGUGGGGACGACGUCAAAUCAUCAUGCCCUUUAUGACCCGGGCUACACACGUAAUACAAUGGUAUUUUAACAGAGGGAAGCGACAUUGCGAAAUGAAGCGGAACCCGAAAAAGUAUCUCAGUUCGGAUUGCAGGCUGCAACCCGCCUGCAUGAAGUCGGAAUUGCUAGUAAUCGCGGAUCAUCAUGCCGCGGUGAAUACGUUCCCGGGCCUUGUACACACCGCCCGU